GACGAACGCUGGCGGCGUGCCUAAUACAUGCAAGUAGAACGCACAGUUUAUACCGUAGCUUGCUACACCAUAGACUGUGAGUUGCGAACGGGUGAGUAACGCGUAGGUAACCUGCCUGGUAGCGGGGGAUAACUAUUGGAAACGAUAGCUAAUACCGCAUAAUAUUAAUUAUUGCAUGAUAAUUAAUUGAAAGGUGCAAUUGCACCACUACCAGACGGACCUGCGUUGUAUUAGCUAGUAGGUGAGGUAACGGCUCACCUAGGCGACGAUACAUAGCCGACCUGAGAGGGUGAUCGGCCACACUGGGACUGAGACACGGCCCAGACUCCUACGGGAGGCAGCAGUAGGGAAUCUUCGGCAAUAGACGAAAGUCUGACCGAGCAACGCCGCGUGAGUGAAGAAGGUUUUCGGAUCGUAAAGCUCUGUUGUAAGAGAAGAACGGGUGUGAGAGUGGAAAGUUCACACUGUGACGGUAUCUUACCAGAAAGGGACGGCUAACUACGUG
rnacentral:rRNA from 1 species